rnacentral:rRNA from 1 species
UACCUCCCCUGAAGUGAGGGAUACCGGCGAGAAAUCGCCGACAAUACCGCAUAGGCUCUCUUUCGCGAGAGGGAGAGCAAAGUCUUCCGCAAGGGAGACGCUUUGGGAUGGGGCCUGUGGCCGAUUAGCUAGCUGGUGGGGUAACGGCUCACCAGGGCGACGAUCGGUAGCUGGUCUGAGAGGACGAUCAGCCACACUGGGAUUGAGAACGGCCCAG